UUAACUCAAAUUUGUAUGGAGUUGGAACGCUUGCCUUCGUUUGCCGCUAGGGGCGCUGUUCCAAUUCCAUGCAAAUUGAGUUA
rfam:Bombyx mori DNA, contig: Bm_scaf168_contig40830, strain: p50T/Dazao, build 2, whole genome shotgun sequence.